UACGUAGGGGGCAAGCGUUGUCCGGAAUCAUUGGGCGUAAAGAGCUCGUCGGCGGCUUAGUAAGUCGGGUGUGAAAACCCCAGGCUCAACCUGGGGACGCCACCCGAUACUGCUAUAGCUAGAGUCCAGUAGGGGAGUGUGGAAUUCCCAGUGUAGCGGUGAAAUGCGCAGAUAUUGGGAGGAACACCAGCGGCGAAGGCGGCACUCUGGGCUGGUACUGACGCUGAGGAGCGAAAGCGUGGGUAGCGAACAGG
rnacentral:rRNA from 1 species